UACGUAGGGUGCAAGCGUUGUCCGGAAUUAUUGGGCGUAAAGAGCUCGUAGGCGGUUUGUCGCGUCUGCUGUGAAAACUCGGGGCUCAACCCCGAGCUUGCAGUGGGUACGGGCAGACUAGAGUGCGGUAGGGGAGACUGGAAUUCCUGGUGUAGCGGUGGAAUGCGCAGAUAUCAGGAGGAACACCGGUGGCGAAGGCGGAUCUCUGGGCCUUACCUGACGCUGAGGAGCGAAAGCAUGGGGAGCAAACAGG
rnacentral:rRNA from 1 species